rnacentral:rRNA from 1 species
AUUGAACGCUGGCGGCAUGCCUUACACAUGCAAGUCGAACGGCAGCACGGGUGCGUUCACCUGGUGGCGAGUGGCGAACGGGUGGGUAAGACAUAGGAACAUGUCCGGUAGGUGGGGGGGGCCCGCGGAAGGCCGGUUUAAUACCGCAUACGAUCGACGUACGAAAGCGGGGCGCGUACGGCCGUGCCUCGCGGGGUUGGAUGAGGCCAUGUUUGAUUAGCUAGUUGGCGGGGUAAAGGCCAACCAAGGCGACGAUCGGUAGCUGGUCUGAGAGGACGACCAGCCACACUGGGACUGAGACACGGCCCAGACUCCUACGGGAGGCAGCAGUGGGGAAUUUUGGACAAUGGGCGAAAGCCUGAUCCAGCAAUGCCGCGUGUGUGAAGAAGGCCUUCGGGUUGUAAAGCACUUUUGUCCGGAAAGAAAUCCUUGGCCCUAAUACGGUCGGGGGAUGACGGUACCGGAAGAAUAAGCACCGGCUAACUACGUG